rnacentral:rRNA from 1 species
UACAGAGGGGGCAAGCGUUGUUCGGAAUUACUGGGCGUAAAGGGCGCGUAGGCGGCCUGCUAAGUCGAACGUGAAAUCCCUGGGCUCAACCCAGGAACUGCGUCCGAUACUGGUUGGCUUGAAUCCGGGAGAGGGACGUGGAAUUCCAGGUGUAGCGGUGAAAUGCGUAGAUAUCGGGAGGAACACCAGUAGCGAAGGCGGCUCGCUGGGCCACACCUGACGCUGAGACGCGAAAGCUAGGGGAGCGAACAGG